rnacentral:lncRNA from 1 species
GGCUGGGCUUGGAGAUCAGUGGUGCCCACCAAGCAGCUUUGGAGUGGCCUGGAGUACUUGGAGUGUGGCAGAACGGGCUCUAGUCCCACCCCUAAGCGGCUCUGAGGGCCAGAUCAGAGAAACCACAUCUCCUUCACCAGAUCUGAACCUAGGGGCUCAGCCCCCUCCAGUUCUGCCGAGACCCUGCAGUGUGGGGGCCCUGGAAGCAGAGAGGAGAGGGAGGAGCUUGGAGUGUGUCUUAAGGGUGGAAGUCUCUGGAGUGGAGUAUCGACAAGCUCAUGGGAGUGUGGGGAUGCAUGGGGGCGAGAGGAGGCUGAGUAGGUCCAUUGUUAAGAGUGUUUGCCUAAAAUGUAAGAACGAUGGGUUCAUCCCCCCCAGUACCCCAGAGACUGAGUGGGUUUGAGCACAGCCUAGGAUCCGUGAGGCAUGAGACAAGAAGUUCUAAAGGGACAGGUGGGAGCUCCGAGGAGGAAGAGGAUGGGCGAGGACACCCAGGGAAGCCCUGGUCCAGCCCAGAAUCCUAGACAGAAGUGUCCCAUGGGUAGCCAUGCACAUUCUCACCUCCUGGUGACAGAGGCAGAGCCUACAGAAAACCAAGCUAGUCCCCUGCUCAGGAGAUGGCUGUCCCUGGGUAGCUUCCCUGGGAUGCCUUGGGAGCCAGCUGGCCACGCUGUCCUUCGCACAGAGGAUUAAAUGGCACGUUCCCUGCUGCAUGCCUUGACAUUUAAGCCCGACUGCACCUAGCACACCGUGACCAACCCUGACUCCACUUCCCAGCUCUGAGAGG